rnacentral:lncRNA from 1 species
UUAAACGGUGGAUUCCAUUUUCUUUUAAUAUUUCACUUCUAUAACAUUCAAUUUUGGGUUUGUGGAGAUUCCACACUAGGCCUUAAGUAUAAGAAUGAAUGGGUCUCGCAGUUUUUUGUUUCUUUUUUUUUUCUUUUAUUUUUUAAAAGUAAUAUUUAUUGUUUUGCAAAUUAAUUAUUGAAUUUAGGUGAUUUAGAAUGAAUCAUUCUUAGAUUCAAUAGUACUAGAGUGGUUGGAUGAAGUAGGGGUGUUGUCCAUACUCUUCACUUAUUUUUUAUUAUUUAUUAU